GAAAUGCGAUAAGUAAUGUGAAUUGCAGAAUUCAGUGAAUCAUCGAAUCUUUGAACGCAUCUUGCGCUCCUUGGUAUUCCGAGGAGCAUGCCUGUUUGAGUGUCAUUUAACUUCUCAACCACAUCAGAGAUGUGGCUUGGACGUGGGGGUUGUUUGCAGGCUUUUUGUUCUACUGAAGGUCGGCUCCCCUGAAAUGUAUUAGUGGUAUCUGGGCUACUGCUAUAGGUGUGAUAAAUUAUCUAUGCCUUUGGUAUGCUGCAUGAACAGAUUGCGCUGCUUAUAACAAAGAUUGAAUCUGACAAAUUUGACCUCAAAUCAGGUAGGACUACCCGCUGAACUUAA
rnacentral:misc_RNA from 1 species